GACGAACGCUGGCGGCGUGCCUAAUACAUGCAAGUCGAGCGGACUUGACAGAGCUUGCUCUGUUCAAGUUAGCGGCGGACGGGUGAGUAACACGUGGGCAACCUGCCCUGCAGAUUGGGAUAACUCCGGGAAACCGGGGCUAAUACCGAAUAAUAUCGAAGAUUUCAUGAUCUUCUUUUGAAAGACGGUUUCGGCUGUCACUGCAGGAUGGGCCCGCGGCGCAUUAGCUAGUUGGUGAGGUAACGGCUCACCAAGGCAACGAUGCGUAGCCGACCUGAGAGGGUGAUCGGCCACACUGGGACUGAGACACGGCCCAGACUCCUACGGGAGGCUG
rnacentral:rRNA from 1 species